rnacentral:lncRNA from 13 species
AUGGGAAGAUUAAGACAAGACGUGCCUAUGCACCCUGUACAAGCCCGUAUAUCCAGACUGAAGACAAUGCUGGUGCCUAAUUUGAAGGGAAGGGGAGCCUCUGAUUCUCACCCAUAGAGUUCUACGCACUGAGUGGUUUCCAUAAUGAGCUGACAGUUGUUUCCAUGGAGGACCCCUGUACUUUCCUUAACCUGUGCUUCGAUGGACAUUGCAAAGACAUCCCACACAAGCACAGC